AGAGAGAGAGAGAGUACUCCAGCAUGAUCCAAUUUACACAUCUUACAAUGUAUAUUUUAAUCUUAUGUUUUAUAGAUUGGAGUGAGUUUAGAAUAUAAUGUACUAGUGUAUACUUCUGUCUGUGACAUUCCCAGUACAUUUUAAUUGUAAUUUUAUACCAUGUACUUAAUUUAUAUGACUUUUUUAACUAUAUACAUGAAGUUUUCAUAUAUUACAUGUGUGAACUUUUACACAUGUAUUUAAAAAUUUUCAGCUUUUAAAGAAGUAUAUGUGUUUUUAAAAUUCAAUUCUCAUUUAAAUUAUUUCAUUUGGCGCAUUUUGAAGUGAUAUAUUUGAAGGCAUUGAUUUAACUUUCAUUUUAAAUGAAUAACAUGAUCAGGCCUUAGAACCAUUAAUUGAAAUUACAUGUACAUCCAAGUUAAAAAAUAUAAUUAAAUUAUAAAAAUAUGUUUCUGAUUUUUAGUUACUUAAGUUAUAUUUUGUGUGGUUACACUUUGUUUGAAACAACUUUUUAGGAAAUCUUUGGUUUCAUUCAAUUAUUGGAUAUUAAGCUAUGUAAUUCAAAGUUUAAGCAUGUACAUGUACAUAUAGUCUGUUCUCCUUAUAUGGUUCUUGAGGCCUGACUUUCAUACAUAUAUUGGUUAUUCUCAAAUCAGGAUCAUUAACAUGAUUUGAUAUAUUUUAAAGUGCAAUAUUUGUUUAUUUUGAUUGAAUUGCUUUUUGAACGCAGCUUAUGAAGUAUAGCAUUGUUAUUUUAAUGGUUACGCAUUCGUAUGCCACAUAACUCAGAUAUACAUGAAUGAAUAAGGAAAACUCCUAUAAUUCAAAUGAUCGAGUCUUGUUUGAUUUGUGAAUUGUGCAGACAAUUGUCAUGUUGGUGUACAAUGUUAUAGAAAUUUGUUAUUCUGUUUGUUACGUUGACGAAAAUGAAUGUUUCAUGAUGUGCCAAUUCCAAAUUGUUAAUUGAGUCACUAUAAUUUUUCAUAUUAAAUCUUGUAUUAUU
rnacentral:sRNA from 1 species